UACGAAGGGGGCUAGCGUUGUUCGGAAUCACUGGGCGUAAAGGGUGUGUAGGCGGUCGUUUAAGUUUGGUGUGAAAUCUCCCGGCUCAACCGGGAGGGUGCGCCGAAUACUGAAUGACUUGGAGUGCGGGAGAGGUGAGUGGAAUUCCUGGUGUAGCGGUGAAAUGCGUAGAUAUCAGGAGGAACACCGGUGGUGUAGACGGCUCACUGGACCGUAACUGACGCUGAGACACGAAAGCGUGGGUAGCAAACAGG
rnacentral:rRNA from 1 species